ACUUACAUCUACAAACGCCGGGGAAUUACGAGCUACGCUUAAAACCCAAAGGAUUUGACGGUGUCCCACCCCCCUAGAGGAGCCUGUUCUAUAAUCGAUAAUACCCGCUAUACCCAACCACCUCUCGCUAUUCAGUCUGUAUACCUCCGUCGAAAGCUUACCAUGUGAACGCCUACAGUAAGUACAAUGGCUACCAACGUCAACACGUCAGGUCAAGGUGCAGCUUAAGUGGUGGAAAGUAAUUGGCUACAAUUUCUAACCUAGAACAAACGGAAGGCUAUGUGAAACCAUAGUUCUGAAGGCGGAUUUAGUAGUAAAAAGAAAAUAGAGCGUUCUUUUUAACCCGGCUCUGGGACGCGUACACACCGCCCGUCAC
rnacentral:rRNA from 1 species